rnacentral:misc_RNA from 1 species
GCCACCGACAUACGAUGCUACGCUCGCAGUCGAUAUAAUUGACCCGGUUUUGGCUGGAAUCAUGGCCUGGGCUGCAUGUUUAAUGCCGAGGAAGACGCCGGUGACGUUGAUGCUGAGGACUCGGUCAAAGUCGUGUCUAUCAUUGUCGAUGAUUCGAGGCUUGCUGGGGUCAGCUAUGCCAGCAUUGUUCAUCAUGAUGUCCAGCUUCCCAAAGGUUUCCACGGCGGCUACCACCGCUGCUUGGACUUGGGAUUCGUCUGUGACAUCACAAUGGACAUAGAGGGAGUUGGUCGGGCCGAGCACGGUGGCACACAGUGUGUGACCGAGGUUGUCUUGAAUGUCGGCGACGACUACUUUAGCGCCAUGGUGAACGAAGAGUUUUGCUGUGCAUUCACCAAUCCCACUUGCACCGCCGGUUAUUAGGGCUACUUUUCCCUCUAGCCUCAUUGGGCCUGUUGUUGUGGAGAUAACCUCACUGCCUCUCAUUUAUUCUUCUUCUUAGAGAGAGAGAUCAGAGAGGAU